GUAUGCCUACGGGAGGCAGCAGUGAGGAAUAUUGGUCAAUGGUCGGGAGACUGAACCAGCCACGCCGCGUGAGGGAUGAAGGUACAGAGUAUCGUAAACCUCUUUUGUCAGGGAACAAAGGCGGGGACGCGUCCCCGGAUGAGUGUACCUGAAGAAAAAGCAUCGGCUAACUCCGUGCCAGCAGCCGCGGUAAUACGGAGGAUGCGAGCGUUAUCCGGAUUUAUUGGGUUUAAAGGGUGCGCAGGCGGCACGGCAAGCCGGCCGU
rnacentral:rRNA from 1 species